GACUCUCGGCAACGGAUAUCUCGGCUCUCGCAUCGAUGAAGAACGUAGCGAAAUGCGAUACUUGGUGUGAAUUGCAGAAUCCCGUGAACCAUCGAGUCUUUGAACGCAAGUUGCGCCUGAGGCCACUCGGCCGAGGGCACGCCUGCCUGGGCGUCA
rnacentral:rRNA from 6 species